AGAGUUUGAUCAUGGCUCAGGAUGAACGCCGGCGGCGUGCUUAACACAUGCAAGUCGAACGAUGAUGCCAGCUUGCUGGUGGAUUAGUGGCGAACGGGUGAGUAACACGUGAGAACCUGCCCUUGACUCUGGGAUAAGCCUGGGAAACUGGGUCUAAUACCGGAUAUGACCUUCCAUCGCAUGGUGGUUGGUGGAAAGCUUUUGUGGUUUUGGAUGGACUCGCGGCCUAUCAGCUUGUUGGUGGGGUAAUGGCCUACCAAGGCGACGACGGGUAGCCGGCCUGAGAGGGUGACCGGCCACACUGGGACUGAGACACGGCCCAGACUCCUACGGGAGGCAGCAGUGGGGAAUAUUGCACAAUGGGCGCAAGCCUGAUGCAGCGACGCCGCGUGAGGGAUGACGGCCUUCGGGUUGUAAACCUCUUUCAGUAGGGAAGAAGCGUAAGUGACGGUACCUGCAGAAGAAGCGCCGGCUAACUACGUGCCAGCAGCCGCGGUAAUACGUAGGGCGCAAGCGUUAUCCGGAAUUAUUGGGCGUAAAGAGCUCGUAGGCGGUUUGUCGCGUCUGCCGUGAAAGUCCGGGGCUCAACUCCGGAUCUGCGGUGGGUACGGGCAGACUAGAGUGAUGUAGGGGAGACUGGAAUUCCUGGUGUAGCGGUGAAAUGCGCAGGUAUCAGGAGGAACACCGAUGGCGAAGGCAGGUCUCUGGGCAUUAACUGACGCUGAGGAGCGAAAGCAUGGGGAGCGAACAGGAUUAGAUACCCUGGUAGUCCAUGCCGUAAACGUUGGGCACUAGGUGUGGGGGACAUUCCACGUUUUCCGCGCCGUAGCUAACGCAUUAAGUGCCCCGCCUGGGGAGUACGGCCGCAAGGCUAAAACUCAAAGGAAUUGACGG
rnacentral:rRNA from 1 species